rnacentral:rRNA from 1 species
GAGUAAUGUCUGGGAAACUGCCUGAUGGAGGGGGAUAACUACUGGAAACGGUAGCUAAUACCGCAUAACGUCGCAAGACCAAAGAGGGGGACCUUCGGGCCUCUUGCCAUCAGAUGUGCCCAGAUGGGAUUAGCUAGUAGGUGGGGUAACGGCUCACCUAGGCGACGAUCCCUAGCUGGUCUGAGAGGAUGACCAGCCACACUGGAACUGAGACACGGUCCAGACUCCUACGGGAGGCAGCAGUGGGGAAUAUUGCACAAUGGGCGCAAGCCUGAUGCAGCCAUGCCGCGUGUAUGAAGAAGGCCUUCGGGUUGUAAAGUACUUUCAGCGGGGAGGAAGGCGAUAAGGUUAAUAACCUUGUCGAUUGACGUUACCCGCAGAAGAAGCACCGGCUAACUCCGUGCCAGCAGCCGCGGUAAUACGGAGGGUGCAAGCGUUAAUCGGAAUUACUGGGCGUAAAGCGCACGCAGGCGGUCUGUCAAGUCGGAUGUGAAAUCCCCGGGCUCAACCUGGGAACUGCAUUCGAAACUGGCAGGCUAGAGUCUUGUAGAGGGGGGUAGAAUUCCAGGUGUAGCGGUGAAAUGCGUAGAGAUCUGGAGGAAUAC